GAUGAACGCUGGCGGCGUGCUUAACACAUGCAAGUCGAACGAUUGAAGCUGGAGCUUGCUCCGGCCGAUUUAGUGGCGGACGGGUGAGUAACGCGUGGGUAACCUGCCUCAUACAGGGGGAUAGCAGUUGGAAACGACUGGUAAAACCGCAUAAGCGCACGGUGUCGCAUGACACAGUGUGAAAACACUCCGGUGGUAUGAGAUGGACCCGCGUCUGAUUAGCUAGUUGGUGAGGUAACGGCCCACCAAGGCGACGAUCAGUAGCCGGCCUGAGAGGGUGAACGGCCACAUUGGGACUGAGACACGGCCCAAACUCCUACGGGAGGCAGCAGUGGGGAAUAUUGCACAAUGGGGGAAACCCUGAUGCAGCGACGCCGCGUGAGUGAUGAAGUAUUUCGGUAUGUAAAGCUCUAUCAGCAGGGAAGAUAAUGACGGUACCUGACUAAGAAGCACCG
rnacentral:rRNA from 1 species